GAUUUAGAUUGGCCUGGAGUACAAUAGUUACUCCAAGUGUACCGUAUACUAAUUGCAAAUUUUCACGCUCCUAAAGCAAAAGCCCCAAUAUUUUAUUCUCUCUCUCUCUCUCUCUCUCUCUCCCACUGUUUGCUGGUUCAGGUGCUCUCUUCUCCUUCCAUGGGUUUGGGUACUUGCGGUCUGCUAUUGGAAUUCUGGAGGUGGAGGAAACUACUUAUAAGUUUCAGAAGAAGCUAUUCAAUUGGUAGAUUAAGAGUGUUACUUGCAGCAAGAUUCUCAAGGUAUAUUCACAUCCUUUAUUAUUUCAAUAUUGAGACAUUCUAUGAUUUGCUGUUAUUUGAGAUAUGCUACUAAUUAAUAGUUGAUAGAUUUAUUUUGCAUUGUGUUUAUAAAUUAGCAUUUAACAUUAUGUAGGAAAUUAGGAAUAAAAUGAAUUCAUUUACUCAGUGUAAAUGAUAAAAAGCAGGUUAUAUGAGUGCUAGCUUUAUUUUUCCUCGGCGAUUGCAAAUAUUUGAGCGGGUAUGAAUUCCAUUAAUUUAUGAAAAUUUUGUAGUUUGUCUAAUCCUUUUUCGUGUAUGUGAUGUUGGCUUUCCUGUGUGUGUGAACCCCAUAUUUUUGAACUUUCGUCUUGGUUGUGACCCUUUAGUUAUUGGACUUUGAUAGGCGGUCGCACACCUAGCAAAAAUAACCUAACUAACCACUACUAUGUAGACAGGCAAGUAAGGGUCGAAUCCCAAGAAACUAAAGUUCAACUAAUUAAUUAGACUCAAAUUCUUACUUGGCAAUAAUCAACAAUGAUCGAAUAACUAAAGAACUAAUGUAUGGAAAAUCGAAAAUAAACUAAGGAAUAUGAUAAUCAAAUAAUUAAAACAUCCAAGAUCUAGUAUCACCACAAUUACGCUUGAUGCAAUUAUAUUUCUACCCCUGACAUACGAUUCCAAUUGAAAGGGAAAAAGUAAACCCUAAUUAAUACCAAGGACCUUUCUCGAGUAUCAAUGACUUCCCUAACAUACAAUCAAGCCUAUUCUCAUGGUAUCAUGCACAUUAGAGACAUUAAACACAUUACUCUAACUUCCUAAUUAUCAACCCAACUAUUCUCAUGUUGAAAAUCAAACCCUAAAUUAAUCUACUCAAAU